GGUGCGUUGGCUGAGUUGGUCGAAGGCGUCGCACUCGAAAUGCGAAGUACGUUCACGCGUACCGAGGGUUCGAAUCCCUCACGCACCU
rnacentral:tRNA from 1 species